rnacentral:rRNA from 1 species
UAGCGUAGGGUGCAAGCGUUAAUCGGAAUUAGCUGGGCGUAAAGCGUGCGGCAGGCGGUUUUGUAAGACUGUCGUGAAAUCCCCGGGCUCAACCUUGGGAAUGGCGAUGGUGACUGCUAAGGCUAGAGUUGGCAGAGGGGGUAGAUUCCACGUGUAGCAGUGAAAUGCGUAGAUAUGUGGAGGAACACCGAUGGCGAAGGCAGCCCCCUGGGUCAAAACUGACGCUCAUGCACGAAAGCGUGGGGAGCAAACAGG